CGGCGGACGGGUGAGUAACACGUGGAUAACCUACCUAUAAGACUGGGAUAACUUCGGGAAACCGGAGCUAAUACCGGAUAAUAUUUUGAACCGCAUGGUUCAAAAGUGAAAUACGGUCUUGCUGUCACUUAUAGAUGGAUCCGCGCUGCAUUAGCUAGUUGGUAAGGUAACGGCUUACCAAGGCAACGAUGCAUAGCCGACCUGAGAGGGUGAUCGGCCACACUGGAACUGAGACACGGUCCAG
rnacentral:rRNA from 1 species